rnacentral:rRNA from 1 species
UACGUAGGGGGCGAGCGUUGUCCGGAGUUACUGGGCGUAAAGCGUGCGCAGGCGGUUUGUUAAGUCCGUUGUGAAAGCCCCGAGCUCAACUUGGGAAUUGCAGUGGAUACUGGCAGGCUGGAGUACGGUAGAGGAAGGUGGAAUUCCCGGUGUAGCAGUGAAAUGCGUAGAUAUCGGGAGGAACACCAGUGGCGAAGGCGGCCUUCUGGACCAGUACUGACGCUCAUGCACGAAAGCGUGGGGAGCAAACAGG